CAGAAAUACAAACUAAAACUAAAACCUGACUUUUCUGGCCUUCCUUGAUGCAAAAUCAUCAAUGAUGUCAUCUUAAGAAAUCUGCUCCCCUAUUGAGUGAUUGUUACUGAUGACGGCAAGGCCAGUGUGCCGUUCCUGGGACCUGGUUGACCUCGUUGACCUCAGGUAUGACUUGAUCAACUUUAGUUUUGAAAAUCUCCUCUCUGCUCGAGCCACAGUGACUGGCAGAGUAAGUGGAAUCUAAGAGCAGUCCAAAAGCUGGGGAAGAUCGCUGAUAGAUUCUUAUCAUGCAUAACAGUGAUAAGCUCAAGGAGGCUCAUGGUCCCCCAUUUCCUCCCCUUGUCCGGACCAUUCCAUUUG